UGUUAGCCCAGAUAGUAGUGGAAAGCUUUGUGAAGGAAAACACUAUUUUUUCUUGGUUAAAAACUGCGACCAACGGAAGCACGUUUUUGGCCUUAGAAAAAAAGUGUUUUGCAAACAAACUUGCAAGGAAUAGCUGGAAUUGCU
rnacentral:sRNA from 1 species